UGAAUACAAAGUUAUGCUGUUGUUUUUCAUCAAAAACAGGAUGUUUAAUUAUUGGAUAUUCAGGAAUUAUUGUAAUAUUAUUAUACUUCGCUGUAGUAUUACUAAGUGGAUUUUCAUAUAACUCCGGCUUCUUAUUUUCUUGGGCAGUACUUUAUGCUCACUAUUUAUUGAUUCAAGGGGUUAAUGAGCAAGAACCAAGGAAAAUGUACUUGUGGAUUUAUCUAAAUUAUAUUGCUCUUAUUAUUCGUGCAAUUUUGACUGUAUUGUGCUUUAUUUUAUUGCUUGUACUUCCAAUAUUAGAAGAACCAGUAACAGAUGUUUCACUGGUCAUUGUUUUUUGUUGUAUUUUAACUAUAACUACAGGUCUUGGUUAUCACUUUUUUGCGGCAGUUGUCACUCAUUGUCAAGAUCUUAUUUUAAUUCAAUCAAGUCAACAAAUCCCUACUCCCUAAUUAAUUUUACAAAUUUAAUACAAAAAAAAUUUUAUAAUCUCUUCUAGCU